CCGCCCCCAGCGCCGCGCGACUCCAGUUGCACCUGCGCUCACUGAACCGGCCCGGCCCCGGUGCUUCCGGCGCUUCUCAGCUGGUGGUGGGUAACCCCUGGCGCGUCCCGUUCUGUAUUUGGUAUGAUUUCACUUGUGCGCACCAUGCUGGGCUCCCUGCAUCUGAAAUUUCCCCCUUCCUCGACUCUGGAAAGAAGUCGUAUUUAACUUGCAUUUCUAGCAAUAAGAAGGAGAUGAAACCGCGGAAGCUCUCCGCGACAGCACACCAUUUCGUCUGCGGGGUUCCGACACCGAGAAAAAAAGCGCGCCGAGACCCACCUACUCUGCACCUCUGCUUGUAGCCUGCGGGUCCGCUUGGGACUCACACUCUGCACUUCCCCGGAGUCAUCACUCGCUGCACCCCAGUGCACGUGGACGAGUGUACCUGCGCCGUGCCUUCAGCUUGCUCUGCAUUGCGCUCACCUGAGGAAACCCAGCUGGAUGAGCCCGACCAUUCUCCUCCGAGGCCUCUGGAGAAACGUCACCAGCCGGCCUGAUGCGUUUCUGUUGGAACCCUUGACCACAUACGCAGAAAGAGCACUUCACACUCCUAAGCAAUCUCCAAGAGGGCAUGUCUCCCCGCUAUCAGAUAACUUCUCAGAUCCCUCUAGUUAAGCCUCCCAGAGGGGACCAAAACACCCAUCACCAAACCGCAGGCUCACCAAUCCAUCCCCUGCCUUUCACUUUCUCUUCUCCUAUCAAAUAUAGUUGCUUCAGGGAACUGGAAUCCAUGCCUUUCUCCUGCAUUGUCAGUUUGCCCAUCUCCAUUAAAUAAUUUCCAAGAGCAUGCAAACA